CGCUGGUGGCGCGGGGUUCUGAAAGUAGGAGGGACACCUGAACCCUUCGCGAGACCCAAGGAGCAGAGAGGAGGGAGUCAGAGGCGGGCCUUCCGGAGAAUUGUCGCAGAGGUGGCGGACUUUGAUCUGGGCCUCGAAGAGGAAGAAUUUGGGAAAGGCAGGCGAGGCCUUCCAGGAGAUUUUUGGGAAAUUAUGAGUUACUUCUGUUCAAGCAUUGAGAGGCAAAAUGACCAAAGUGGAAAAGGAUGAACCUCUUUUUCCUUUCCAGGAAUAUAUCAUUUGCCAUUGAGUUUGUGUUGCAAAAUUUUCUGCAAGAAUUCAAGAGAAUAUUUAUUGAUUCGAUAAGCACAAGUACUGAAAAGGCAUUGCCAGAGUGCUAAUUGACAGAACUCUUACAUGGGUUAGGAUUUAGUUUCCCUGUAACUUCUAAACCAAUGGAGAGAAAAUGGGAAGCAAAACUGAAGCAAAUUGAAGAACGAGCAUCUCGUUAUGAGAGGAAACCGUUGCCCUCGGUAUACAGACCAAGAUUGUCCAAGCCAGAAGAACCACCCUCCAUUUGGAAACUAUUCCAUCGGCAAACUCAGGCUUUUAAUUUUGUUAAAAGCUGUAAAGAGGAUGUUCACGUAUUUGCUUUGGAAUACAAAGUGGGCGAUGGGCAACGUAUUUACCUGGUGACAACCUAUGCUCAACUUUGGUUUUAUUAUAAAUCCCGGAAAAAUCUCUUACACUGCUAUGAAGUCAUUCCUGAAAAUGCUGUGUGCAAGCUUUAUUUUGAUUUGGAAUUUAACAAACUUGCAAAUCCAGAAGCUGAUGGAAAAAAGAUGGUUGCAUUACUAAUUGAGCAUGUUUGUAAAGCACUUCAAGAGCUAUACAGGGUUAAUUGUUCACCUGAAGAUGUUUUCAACUUGGAUUCCAGCACUGAUGAAAAAUUUAGCCGUCAUCUAAUAUUUCAGCUUCAUGAUGUGGCAUUUAAAGAUAACAUUCAUGUUGGUAAUUUUGUGAGAAAAAUUUUGCAGCCUGCUUUUCAUUUAAUUGGCAGGGAAAAUGACGAUAGUACUUCAGAGACUGCAGGCCAUGAAUUUUCCCGUUUUCCUGAAACACCAAUUAAACAAGGAAUUUCCUGUAGCAAAAUGUCCUCAGAUACAGACAGAGGAGAGAGCUGGGCCUGGAAUUCAAAGGAACCGGAGAGCCCGGGCUCAGCUGAGCUGAACAGUCCUGACCUAUCAUUUUUAGUUGUGAAGAAUAAUGUAGGAGAAAAGCAUCUUUUCGUAGACCUCGGAGUUUAUACAAGAAAUAGAAACUUCCGGCUGUAUAAGUCAUCGAAGAUAGGGAAGCAGGUGGCUUUGGAGAUUGCUGAAGACAACAGAUUUUUUCCUGAACAGUCCAAGAAUAUUUCUGAAGAAAAUCAGUAUUUCCUGUCUUCUUUGGUCAGCAAUGUCAGAUUCUCAGAUACUUUACGAAUUCUGACCUGUGACACAUCUCAGAAUGAACAGAAACGAGUUGAAUAUUUUAACAGUACCAGCACUAAAGCAGGAAACAUUGAAGGUUUUCAUUGUUCACCCUACCCUGAAAUUGACCAGUUUGUUCUUUCUUUGGUGAAUAAAAAUGGCAUUAAAGGAGGAAUUCGACACUGGAGCUACUUUUUCCCAGAGGAAUUACUGGUUUAUGAUAUUUGUAAAUAUCGCUGGUGCAGAAACAUUGGGAGGGCCCACAAGAGCAAUAAUAUCAUGAUUUUGGUUGAUCUGAAAAAUGAAGUUUGGUAUCAGAAAUGUCAUGACCCUGUAUGUAAAGCAGAAAACUUCAGAUCGGACUGUUUUCCAUUACCUGCUGAAGUGAGUCUCCUUUAUCUUCUCAAAGAGGAAGAAGAGUUCACAGCAGCUGAAACAAUGAACAGUGACACCAGAAGUGCUCAGAAGCCACCAUCGGGCCUGUUGUCAGAAGGUGCCAUUUCUGACGCCGACUGGGAUGAUGGCCUUGAUGAGACUGACUUUGUGGAAGCUACUGAAGAUGCUGAACUCGCCGAAGCCGCAGAGAGCGGGCUCCUCGGUUACUGCGGUGGAGAGGAGGACAUUCCCGAUGAACUCAUCGUGCAGAUAAAUACCCAGAGGAAGUGAAGUCACGGGCUCGUACGGUGUUUCUAAGUUUUUGAGGAGCCACUGAGCUGUUUUCCGUGAUGGCUGCAGCAACUUACAGUGCAAUCUAAUAGCAAUUGGAUGGGUGUGAGACAUCAUAACCCAUCUCCCAGGAUUAUGGGGAUAACAAGCAAAUAUCUGAAGCCUUCAGGCCAGUGCCCAGCGCACCCAGGAAGUUUGUUCAAAUGUGGUUUUCUUUAGGCCUGAGCCCCUGGAAACUUUUCCCCAGUCUGGCACCAGGCCCAGGCGGGACAGGGGAGCCAAUGCGCUGGACCCUCUCCCAAACCUCUCUGGCAUUCCUGUCUCAAACUCGGCACUGGAAUUACAGGUGUUCUUUUCUGAUCAUGCCACUCUCUCACCCUGUUUUGCAACACUCUUCGGAGCACAGAGCAGACAUGACUGCUGCUGCUGCUUCUGCUCUCGGACCCCUUCAGCCAGUCGUCCUGGCCGCACGGAAGGCCGCCUCAGCCCUGCGUGCAGGCGACCCCACCGCGGGGUCCCAGGGUCCUAGACCCCGCACACGGGGGCAUGUUCACAUCACACGAGCACCACGCCAACGAUCACAUUAACGAGAACCGGUAACACACACGGCACCGGCUGAACGGCAGUCACCGCGAAGCACUCUGCAUGUUUAGUCAUUUAACCCUCCCAGCGCCCUGGGAGGGGUGGGUAUCGUGCUCCUUUACUGAAGAGGAACUGAGGCCCUGGGAAGGUCAGCAGCCUGACCCAAGGGGGCACAGCCGGUAAGUAGCUGAGCCUGGGUUUGAACCGGGUAUCCAGUCUCAGAGUCUGCACACUAAAUCUCUACUUGGGCUGCCUCGUGGGCCGGGGUCAGAUCUGACCGCGGAGAGAUCCGUGCCGAACUCUCUUUUGCCAAAAGCUCCAGCUCUGCAGCACGACCGCCUUCACUGAGCUUCCAGACACCAAGAACACCUGGGAUCGCAGGACAAUACAGACCUCAGCGGUGGGGCCCCCCCCACCCCCACUGUACUGUAAUCACAUCCCUUCAGGUAAGUUCUUCGAGGAGCUUAG